CUCAUCUGCUGCUCUGAAGCCUAAACCAUGGUGCCCAGAAUCUUCGAUAUUGGACUGUGGUUGUGCCAGUUGACACUCCAGAGUGGAGACCAGAUCUGCAAUCUCUUGGGGCUGUAAUAAGGGGAUCAUCCUGUCCUUGAACAAGACCCAGCUCUGUGGUCCUAACUGCACUUCUGGCCCUGCUUCCAGCACUGCUGACUGGAGCCCCUGGGCUCUCAGCACCAGGCAGUAGUGAGGCUCCAUGUCCCAGGAGUGAGGCCUGACUACCCCAGGAGUGUGCUCAAGUAAGGGCAGCCCAGGCGGUGGACAGAGUUUUGUUGUGUGUAUUCCAUCAAGAUGCAACUCAUGAGAAGCUGGAGGACCUGGAGAAGCUGGCAACUCAAAAAGGCCAAAGGGUGCAGACAAUAAAAGCCCCAGACAAGCGUAUAGAACCACACGCCGUCUUUUUACUUGCCCUUCACCAUGAAGGUCCAGGGGCAGCACUGCUCAAAGCAGACUCUGAAGGUGCAGUUUCCACACGUCUGGGU
rnacentral:lncRNA from 1 species